AUGUUCAGAAUACUGGUUCUUCAAUAUUACCUACAAAGAAGAAUAAACUGCUCAAUGGAGAGGAAACUGGAGCUGGUGUUCGGAGACAGGGAAGGAGUGGAAGAGGAUCAUCAGGUUUGUAGGGCUACCACUGUAGCUACAAGGGAAAACUUGGAAACUCCAGCCUCGGCAAAGCCAUUCAAAAGUAUGAGGCCUGGUUCUGAGAAGAAUGGAAGUAAAUCAGGGCGUCCUCCUCUGAAGAAACUGUCAGAUAGGAAGGCCUUUGCUUUUCCAGGCCAUAUAUCUACCAUCGGUUCCCCUGAUUGUGCAGGUGAGCCAGAUGAUGACCAUGAAGAACUUCUGGAAGCUGCAAAUUUUGCCUGUAGCUCCAACGAUUUGGCCUGUUCUAGUCCAUUUUGGAAGAAAAUGGAACCAAUAUUUGGUCCUGUCAGUUUAGAGGUGGUAUCCUACUUCCAGGAGCAGCUCAUAUCUGUGGAGGAGAAUGAUGAAUGCAUGUCUCUGAUGUUAGGCAAUGCCAAUAAUGUUUCGGGUGAUAUUGUGCAUGAAGAAAACUUUGUGUCCAAGACUCUUUUUUCUGGACAAUAUGAGUGGAACGUGCAAGACCAAAUUCAAAAAGGAGAUGUAUCUUGUGGAAGAUUAGUCUCAGAAGGAACAAAGAAAGUGCCUCCAUUGUACCAAAGAGUAUUAUCGGCUCUAAUCAUGGAAGAUGACAUUGAAGAAUUUGAAAAUGGCAUUGACCGGAGAACUAUGUCUUUACAAUAUAAUGGGGACAAUUUUCCAGGUGAUACAUGUGCCUCGAUUAAUGUUGAGCCAAGGAACAGGAUCCGGGUCCAGCUUGUAAACGAUACAGAUAUGGGUUUGCAGACUCUCAAUCAAUAUUCCAGUGACAAUUACCCUUACAAUGGGGCUAGUGGCUUUAUGAAUGCUACAGGCAUCUGUAAUCAAUUAUACAAUAAUGAUUUGUCAAAAGUAGAUUUUGGAGAAUUGCGUUCAGAGAGUGGGAUGCUUCCCUUGUUUUCCGAAAAUGGUGCAGAUGGGUUACAACAUAUGGUUACAAACUCUCCAGGAAUUUCUUCCUCUGAUUGCCCAUAUGAACAGAUGCCUCUGGAGGAUAGACUCUUGCUGGAGCUACAAAGUGUAGGCUUGUUUCAAGAAACAGUGCCUGAUCUAGCAGACGGAGGGGACGAAGCAAUUGAUAAAGAUAUUGUUGGACUACAGAAGCUACUCCACCAACAGGUUGAUGGGAAGAAGAUACGGUUAAACAAAUUUGUUAAAGCAAUUGAAGAAGGCAUGGACAUCGAAAGACGGCGCCGCGAGCAGGUUGCUAUGGACAAGCUUGUUGAGUCGGCUUACAGAAAGCUUCUGGCCACUCGGGGAAGUAUUGCUUCAAAAUAUCGGAUUGCUAAGGUUUCAAAACAAGUUGCUGUUGCUUUUAUGAAGAGGACUCUUGCUAGAUGUCAAAAAUAUGAAGAAACCGGAAAAAGUUGCUUUAAUGAGCCUGCACUUCGAGAUGUCAUUUUCGCUGCAUCGCUUCCUGGUAGCAGUGGAGAAACCAUGAAAUGCAACAGCUUAAGUUCGCCACUUGAAAAUCAAAACUCUCAACAAGAACCUGGGGUUUCAGGUUCAUCCAAAUGGGCGGAGCGGCCUGAUCAUCGUAAUAAGUUUGACAGGGGUUCUUGUGGCAUGUCCAGUCUUACCCAUCCCUCUGAGCAGGUUACAAAUACUGGACCAAUAUUGUACAGAGGGAAAAAGAAGGAAGUUCUGCUUGAUGAUGUUGGCAGCCCCUCCUUGAAAGCUGCAUCAAAUCUUGGUCCUGUGUUGGGCCGAGCAAAAGGAAAAAGAAGUGAGAGAGAAAGGGACAAAGAUACAUCAGCCAGGAAUUCUGUUACCAAAGCUGACCGUCCAUCAUUGGGUAACAAUAAGGGUGAGCGUAAAACCAAAACAAAGCCCAAACAGAAGACAGCUCAGCUAUCAACUUCAGGAAAUGGGUUGAUUAGCAAUGCCCCUUCAGCUGGAUUUGUUGAAGUUGUUGGCAACAAUAAUAACAGUAAACGAGAGAUUGAGCCCGCAUGCUAUAAUGACAUUCCUCAGGGUCCUACAGAGACCAAGAAACAAAUGGAUUUUGCAAACUUGCAUCUGAAUGAUUUAGACUCGAUAGAACUAGGAGUAGCCAAUGACCUUGGUGGCAACCAAGAUCUGAGUACUUGGUUUAACUUUGAUGAGGACAGUUUGCAGGACCAUGAUGCGGAGGGGCUUGACAUUCCUAUGGAUGACCUCUCGGAUUUGAAUAUGCUUCUGUGAGGACGACAGCAGACUGUAUAUUUCCUUGGAUUACUUGACCAUUUAGAUAAGACUGAUGGUGCUAUUGUCAGAGGGCAACCUGCCAAUAUAAGUUUUGGCUCUGGCAAACAAGCACAUUGAUGGUGGAUUAUUCACUAUUAUUGAUUUUCUUGGGAAAUCAAGUGGAAUCUGGUUAAAAGGCACACUCUUAUUUUGUCGGGUAUUAUUUGUCUGCCUUAUGGCUGGGAUUGGUGUCUACAAGAGAUCAUUUGCCUCAUUGCACAGUUUCAGGCUCAGCACCAGGGAGCUGUUACAAUCUCAAGACCUCUGCAUUUGUACUUAUGCGGUUCCAAUGAUGCAAUGUCGUGACUGUUUCAUUCUGUUUGGAAACUUGAUGAAUCUGCAAACAUCAGCUUCAAAGUUGGUUGUAUCUUUUCAUGUAUUUGUUUCAUUAAAUUUUGGCGGUUGCUUUACUUGAGUUUCUCUUCUUGUAUGUUGUUGUUGCAGGUUGGAUCUGAUAGCUCGUCCACUGUCUCAGCUUGUUCUUUUUUACUAAUGGUGUACAAAACUGGACGCCAACUUAGUGUCUCCCUACCCUUCUUGCCCUUCUUUUCUUUGGUGGAGUGAGGAAAGGGGUCACAUGUCUAAGGUGUGUAUUGUUGUCGACCUAUUGACAAAAUUAUUAAUUUGGAUGAAUGUGAUUCGAUCAGGAGAUUAUAAGUGUUGAUCUGUUGGAAUUAGAACAAAGAUAAAAAAGGAGCCAUUUCAUUAUCAUUACAUAAACUGUAUUCGUCUUAAGGUUGAACAAUAAAUAGAUGACUAACUGGUUCAGAAGAUUGUUGACAGAAAAAUUGGUUUAAAUAUUUUGCUGUUUUUUGGCAAAGGUGUUCACAGACGGGAACCUAAAAUGAGCGGGCCGGAUUAUUGGGCCAUAUUUCGGCAUCUUAUUAGGUUCCUAUCAGUUGACAGUUAAAAGUAGUGUUCUGAUUCUAUGUAACUUCUGGUAAGGUUUAUCUCUUACAUCCAAAUGUUAUAAUGUUCAGUAUACAGUAUACACUCUUUUGACUGUGGAGUAGAUGGGUUAGUAUAUAUAAUUUUAUCAGAUCAAUUGAUAGUUUAAGUUUUAUAAGAUUGAUGUUCUGCUGAUCCAACGGUUGAAUUUAAUAAUCUAAUCAUAUACAUAAUUCAUGUACACGGUACUAGAAUUAGUGUUCUUAAACUAUAAACGUAACCUUCAUCAUAUGGUUAUGUGGGUGUUAAAGAUUAUGUGAAUGGGUUCAACAGUAAAUUCAAUAUUGUUUGAGCAAAGAACAAAUCCUGCAAAAACUUAUCAACUGGUGUAACACACUCUUACAGCCCCAGCUGCUUUGAGUUUAUGGCUAAAGGUGAACAGUGUCAUGAUUGAUGUAAGAUCUGAUAUUCAGAUGGAGUUUAGGGUGUAAGCGUGUAGUAGUUACGUUUUAAGUAAUUUUAAGGCUUAUGCGUAGCAUGGGGUGAUAAGGAAUAUGUAGGAAUAUGCAUGUGUUAAAACUUACCGAGGGGUUUCCAGGAGUUUUCUAUUGCAUCUUAUAAACAUUUUAUUCAUUGCUAAAGUUGGGGUUGGGAAAAAAUGGAUUUUAAAUUUUUGUGAAGGGUCGGGAUAAAUGGGGAUUUUAGGGUUUUAUUAAAGAAGUGUUGAGAGGUUAGGCUUGGAGUGUAAGCCAAGUAAGGUAAGUGACUAGAAAUUGAAGAACGGUUCUUUCGAUCUCUGUGUGUUUAGAUGUUUAAUCCAUCUCCCUGGGUUCUCCAACUAGGAUUUGUAAGAGGUAUAUGCUGCUGGAACAAACUUUCAGAGGCUGGAUUUUGGUUGUACUGUGCAGAACAUCAAAGAAGGCAGAAGAAGAUAUUGAAUGCGGACCUAAAAAACGUUUGCAGAGGCCAAAAAAAUUGCUCACAAAUGGAAAAGAAACAAAGAACAUGUGGGUUGUGAUGUUAUGGGCGUGAUGGUGAACCUGGCGGAAGCGGCUGAAGUUACCUGUGGCCUGGGUUAUUGGCUUAGAGAUACUGGAUUGUUCUACGAGGAGCUUUCAACGAAGAGAUGUUAAGCUAUCGAGAUAAAAACUUACACCUCUUCAGCAUUCUGAUAUGCACGUUGAGUGCGUGACUUGAACAUUUUUUGCCAAGUAGAGGGCACAGCUUAGUCUUUAAGUAAGGUACUUAUUAUGUUUAAACUGUUUUAAGAUGGAAAUUCAGCAGUUUCCUUUCAUUGGUAUGUUCCUCAAGAUAUAUUAUCUGCGUAAUUUGUAAUUGAAUCCGUAUGAGUGUCUGGUUGCUGAAUCACAACAGAAACAAACGAUGAAAAGUGCCUGCGGUGUAAUUUUGCGACCGCAGUUGUCGUUGUGCUUGAACCUUGCUCCAAUGGUAAAUAUGCGUUGUAAAGUUUGCUGCCUCCAGCGCAAGUGUUUUCCAGAUGCUCAUAAUAUUAGGCUUUCGUUUGUUUCA